GGUGUAUUCACUAUCCUAUAAAGAUUUUUACACUUUUACAACCGGUUGAUUAAUGCUGUCAUUAAUCCCUCUUUGUCUUUCUCAACUGCAGGACAUCACCAGACACUGCAUACCCCACCUUCACCUUGGAACAAACAACAAUAACAGGAAAGGCAAAGAAGAUGGAGGAAGAGUUGUCAUGCUGCGUACCUGGUGUGGCCUCCGAGGGUCCGCGUCUCCACGCUGACGGAGGUUUGUUGGUGGAACAGCCGCUGGAAUGCUGCACCUGACCCGUGACGCACAUCUGGGGCUUUCCACUCCUCCGUCGGUCCCUCUCUCCUUCCCUCCCUCCUGUCUCCCCUCCUUAGAGUGAAGGAAGAAUAACAGACGGGUCAAAACAGGAAAGAAGCCUCCGCACGACCCAUCGGGGUCACUCCUCUGAGAGUUCGGAGACAUGAGUGAGUGAGUGUGUGGUGUCUGUUCAACGGCUCCCAUGGAUGAGUAGUACGU